rnacentral:rRNA from 1 species
GGGUCAGUGGGUUGGUCGUGCCACCGGUACGUACUGGCCUCACUGAUUCCUCCUUCCUGAAGAACCGUAAUGCCAUUAAUUUGGUGUUGCGGGGAAACAGGACUGUUACUUUGAAAAAAUUAGAGUGUUUAAAGCAAGCUAACGCUUGAAUACAUUAGCAUGGAAUAAGUAAAUAGGACGAUCGAUCCUAUUUUGUUGGUUUCUAGGAUUGACGUA